UUGAAAAAUCUCUUGUCGCAAUAAGACCAUGCAAUAAUCAACAGAUGUCGAGCGAGAAGCAACAAAAAGAGAAAUUAGGGAAAUCAUUUAGGGCCUGGCUCAAUGCAAUACUCACAUUUUCGAAACUGAAGAGACCCAUUUCUUUAAAUCAAUUCGAUGGCCGAUCACUCAGACGCUUCGCCUCUCAUCCCUCCGAAGCAGAUCACCGAGCCUAGCGAGAUCGACCUCGAGGCGGGGCCUGGCGAACAAAUCCAGUGUCGAAUUUGCCUUGAAAGUGAUGGCAGGGACUUCAUUGCUCCGUGCAAGUGCAAAGGGACUUCCAAGUAUGUCCACCGGGAGUGUUUGGAUCAUUGGAGAGCUGUAAAGGAAGGGUUUGCAUUUGCUCAUUGUACAACCUGCAAGGCUCCUUACCACUUGAGAGUUCAUGUUGUUGCUGACAGAAAAUGGCGAACCUUGAAAUUCCGAUUCUUUGUGACGAGGGACAUUAUAUUUAUAUUUCUGGCCGUUCAGCUUGUGAUUACUUCAUUGGCCUAUUUGGCUUAUUUAAUAGAUGGUUUCCAGCAAUUCUGGCUUCGUCUUGCAUGGGGUUUUGACAGUGAGCUUAGUUUCUACUAUAUAUGCGGAGCUUUGUUGUUUUUCGCUUUGCUUGGGUUGUCUGGCUGCUUCAUUACUUGUUAUGACCGUAGAGUGCGCAAUGAUUUGGCUCAGCCAUGUCGUGAAUUAUGCCUUUGUUGCUGUCAGCCUGGUGUGUGCGCAGACUGUCAUUUACCUGGAACACUUUGUAUGUGGACUGACUGUACCACAUGCUGGGGAAGUUGUGCAAGUAUGGCAGGUGAAUGUGGUUGCUUGGGAGGCGCUGGUGAAGCAGGGCUACCAAUAUUAUUUAUAAUGACUCUGAUUGUACUGGGACUUUUUACCGUGAUUGGGAUAUUCUACAGUGUCCUGGUAGCUACAAUGGUUGGACAACGGAUUUGGCAGCGGCAUUAUCAUAUACUUGCAAAAAGGAUGCUGACAAAAGAAUAUGUUGUCGAGGAUGUUGAUGGUGAGAUGACCGGAUCUGAUUGGUCUGCCCCUCCUCUCCCACCUGAGCAUAUUCAGCAGCUGAAAGCGCUCGGCCUAUUAUAGAUAAAGAGGGCUUGUUUACUGUUCAGCAAAAUAACAUGAUAUUGAGAAGACUGCCUGCCUCUGCAUUUGGCAAUAAAAAUUACAAGUCUGAACUGCCUUUGCAUAACGGUAUUCUGAAACUGUGCCCUCGGAAUUGGAUCCUCUCCGAGGCAAAGCCUUGGGAUCCUCCCGAUCCAAUGAUAAGGAUCAUUGGAUUUUGAUCCAACGGCUACAAACAGGGAGGUCCCUCUAAAAUUAUAAUAAUUGUAGACGUUAGAUCAAAAUCUAACGGCCCGUGUUAGUAGAUCAGCAGAAUCCCAAGGCUUUGCCUCGGAGAGGAUCCAAUUCACUGUGCCCUCUAGUGAAUCAGUUUAGUUAAUGAUAGAAACUAGUAUCGGCUGGUUAUUGUUUUAGUGACACUUCUCUUCAAAAAAAUGCCCCGUAGCAUUUGAAAACGCGGAACCAAAUCCUGUAGUUGGCAAUAUUGCUUAGUACGAGAUUAGAGGGGUGAUUUUCCAUAACUUGGUGCUAAUUUGUUUAAACUUUUUCAUCUUUCCGUAAUAUAGGGCAUAAAUUCAAUUCAUUCAUGCUCGGAUGUUUAAGAGAGAUUAAUUAGUAUUACGAUGUAAGUGAUAUUUCCUCUUCAUUUGAUGAAAUAUAAGUAUUAUAUUUGUGUUAA